CACGUAGGGUGCAAGCGUUGUCCGGAAUCAUUGGGCGUAAAGAGCUCGUAGGCGGCUUAGUAAGUCGGGUGUGAAAACCCCAGGCUCAACCUGGGGACGCCACCCGAUACUGCUGUGACUUGAGUCCGGUAGGGGACCACGGAAUUCCUGGUGUAGCGGUGAAAUGCGCAGAUAUCAGGAGGAACACCGAUGGCGAAGGCAGGUCUCUGGGCCACUACUGACGCUGAGAAGCGAAAGCAUGGGGAGCGAACAGG
rnacentral:rRNA from 1 species